GAUGAACGCUGGCGGCGUGCCUAAUACAUGCAAGUCGAGCGAACAGACGAGGAGCUUGCUCCUCUGACGUUAGCGGCGGACGGGUGAGUAACACGUGGAUAACCUACCUAUAAGACUGGGAUAACUUCGGGAAACCGGAGCUAAUACCGGAUAAUAUAUUGAACCGCAUGGUUCAAUAGUGAAAGACGGUUUUGCUGUCACUUAUAGAUGGAUCCGCGCCGCAUUGGCUAGUUGGUAAGGUAAAGGCUUACCAAGGCAACGAUGCGUAGCCGACCGGAGAGGGUGGUCGGCCGCACUGGAACUGGGACACGGUCCAGACUCCUGCGGGAGGGAGCAGUAGGGAAUCUUCCGCAAUGGGCGAAAGCCUGACGGAGCAACGCGGCGUGAGUGAUGAAGGUCUUCGGAUCGUAAAACUCUGUUAUUAGGGAAGAACAAAUGUGUAAGUAACUAUGCACGUCUUGACGGUACCUAAUCAGAAAGCCACGGCUAACUACGUG
rnacentral:rRNA from 1 species